rnacentral:rRNA from 1 species
UACGGAGGGGGCUAGCGUUGUUCGGAAUUACUGGGCGUAAAGCGCACGUAGGCGGCUUUGUAAGUUAGAGGUGAAAGCCCGGGGCUCAACCCCGGAAUUGCCUUUAAGACUGCAUCGCUUGAAUACGGGAGAGGUGAGUGGAAUUCCGAGUGUAGAGGUGAAAUUCGUAGAUAUUCGGAAGAACACCAGUGGCGAAGGCGGCUCACUGGACCGUUAUUGACGCUGAGGUGCGAAAGCGUGGGGAGCAAACAGG